rnacentral:rRNA from 1 species
ACGGGUGAGUAACGCGUGGUCAACCUUCCGUUGAAUGGGGGAUAACUAGCCGAAAGGUUAGCUAAUACCGCAUACGAUCUUUUGAAGGCAUCUUUAAAAGAUGAAAGGAGCAAUUCGUUCAACGACGGGACCGCGUCCCAUUAGCUAGAUGGUGGGGUAAUGGCCUACCAUGGCAACGAUGGGUAGCUGGUUUGAGAGAGCGACCAGCCACACUGGGACUGAGAGACGGCCCAG